rnacentral:rRNA from 1 species
AGAGCGAACGCUGGCGGCAGGCUUAACACAUGCAAGUCGAGCGGAUGUAGCAAUACAUCAGCGGCAGACGGGUGAGUAACACGUGGGAACGUACCUUUUGGUUCGGAACAACACAGGGAAACUUGUGCUAAUACCGGAUAAGCCCUUACGGGGAAAGAUUUAUCGCCGAAGGAUCGGCCCGCGUCUGAUUAGCUAGUUGGUGAGGUAAUGGCUCACCAAGGCGACGAUCAGUAGCUGGUCUGAGAGGAUGAUCAGCCACAUUGGGACUGAGACACGGCCCAAACUCCUACGGGAGGCAGCAGUGGGAAUAUUGGACAAUGGGCGCAAGCCUGAUCCAGCCAUGCCGCGUGAGUGAUGAAGGCCCUAGGGUUGUAAAGCUCUUUUGUGCGGGAAGAUAAUGACGGUACCGCAAGAAUAAGCCCCGGCUAACUUCGUGCCAGCAGCCGC